rnacentral:rRNA from 1 species
GAAUAACAGUUGGAAACGACUGCUAAUACCGGAUGAUGACGUAAGUCCAAAGAUUUAUCGCCCAAGGAUGAGCCCGCGUAGGAUUAGCUAGUUGGUGAGGUAAAGGCUCACCAAGGCGACGAUCCUUAGCUGGUCUGAGAGGAUGAUCAGCCACACUGGGACUGAGACACGGCCCAGACUCCUACGGGAGGCAGCAGUGGGGAAUAUUGGACAAGGGGCGAAAGCCUGAUCCAGCAAUGCCGCGUGAGUGAUGAAGGCCUUAGGGUUGUAAAGCUCUUUUACCCGGGAUGAUAAUGACAGUACCGGGAGAAUAAGCUCCGGCUAACUCCGUGCCAGCAGCCGC